ACUCGGAUGUUUCUGGGGCGGAUGGGUUGAGGAGAGGACAGCAACAAGAAUAGAAUAGGGUAGUGGGUAAAGAAGGAGAGAGAGAGAGAGAGAGAGAGAGAAUGUGUUCAACGACGACUCAACCACAACAGGAACAAGGACCUGCCUGUGUAGGCUGUACAGCUGCCGCCACCGCGCCGGGAAGCCGCCCAAGGGGCCUAGCCCCUCCUGGUUCCCCCUACUCGACGAGCCGUUCUUCUACUCGCUGCCCAAGAAGUAGCUCCUCCUCCUCCUUCUCCUCCGCCUCCUCCACGACUGCCUCUCGAGGAGGUAGCCGCGGGGCAGCGGCAGCUCGAGGAGGUAGCCCCUCCUGAGGAGCAGCCUCCAACCGCCCCUUCCCCUCCUGCUCCUCCACCUCUCGUUCGAGUUCCUCCUCGGGCCCGAGCCGACGGACCUGCGGAACCUCCUGAGGAACGGGUAGUUCUUGCCCGACAGCUCGAAGAUGCGGCCUUUCAGUUUCAGGAAGUGGUCGGAGCGCCUCCGCCGCCGCGCCCUGCGGCACUUCCUCGAGCGGUUCGGCCUCUUGGGGAAGUUGUUCGCGGCGGCGUAGGACCGGUGGACCAGGGCCGCGCGGAGGACGUCGAGCGACCGCUGCCGGUGGAUGGACGGGGGCGAGGAGCGGGGCCUGGUGCGGGAGGGGCUCCCGCUGCUUCCGCUCCUCCUGCUGCUGAGGCUGAGGCCGAGGCUGCUCGUCGUGGCGCCGUUCUUGCCCACCCUCCGCGGCCGUAACGGCGGGGGCUCCGAGUCGCACUUGUGGGUCUACCCGCGUAGCCGCCGCUCCUCCCCGCCGUCGAAGUCCAGCGGCUCUAGCAUAAGUGACAGUCUGGAAGCUUUGCCGCCACUACGAUCAAUAUUAGUCAUCGACGCUUAAGCGUCGGUAACUAGACAGAACACAGGGCAUCUAGACAAUGAUGAUGAAUGAGGAAUUAAUAUAUAUUUGUACAUACUUGACGAGGCCACUUGACUUGGCUUGACUAGGUUGUGGGACCGGUAGUAAUUGAUUACUACUUGCUAGGAGCUCUAUUCUAAUCAAUCAAUUAAUUACCGUAGCGAGGACUAGGAAAGCGGGACAUGUUUGUAUAUAUAUGUUAAACAACUACGUUUAAACUAAACGACCUAUCCCCUAG
rnacentral:rRNA from 1 species